rnacentral:rRNA from 1 species
AUUGAACGCUGGCGGCAUGCCUUACACAUGCAAGUCGAACGGUAACAGGUUAAGCUGACGAGUGGCGAACGGGUGAGUAAUGUAUCGGAACGUGCCCAGUCGUGGGGGAUAACUACUCGAAAGAGUGGCUAAUACCGCAUACGACCUGAGGGUGAAAGCGGAGGACCGUAAGGCCUCGCGCGAUUGGAGCGGCCGAUAUCAGAUUAGCUAGUUGGUGGGGUAAAAGCCCACCAAGGCGACGAUCUGUAGCUGGUCUGAGAGGACGACCAGCCACACUGGGACUGAGACACGGCCCAGACUCCUACGGGAGGCAGCAGUGGGGAAUUUUGGACAAUGGACGCAAGCCUGAUCCAGCCAUGCCGCGUGCGGGAAGAAGGCCUUCGGGUUGUAAAGCUCUUUCGGCAGGAACGAAACGGCGAGCUCUAACAUAGCUUGCUAAUGACGGUACCUGAAGAAGAAGCACCGGCUAACUACGUGCCAGCAGCCGCCGCAGUAA